AACGAACGCUGGCGGCAGGCUUAACACAUGCAAGUCGAGCGCCCCGCAAGGGGAGCGGCAGACGGGUGAGUAACGCGUGGGAACCUACCCUUUCCUGCGGAAUAGCUCCGGGAAACUGGAAUUAAUACCGCAUACGCCCUACGGGGGAGAGAUUUAUCGGGGAAGGAUGGGCCCGCGUUGGAUUAGCUAGUUGGUGGGGUAAUGGCCUACCAAGGCGACGAUCCAUAGCUGGCCUGAGAGGAUGAUCAGCCACAUUGGGACUGAGACACGGCCCAAACUCCUACGGGAGGCAGCAGUGGGGAAUAUUGGACAAUGGGCGCAAGCCUGAUCCAGCCAUGCCACGUGAGUGAUGAAGGCCUUAGGGUUGUAAAGCUCUUUCACCGGUGAAGAUAAUGACGGUAACCGAAGAAGAAGCCCCGGCUAACUUCGUGCCAGCCGCCGCGGUAACAC
rnacentral:rRNA from 1 species